rnacentral:rRNA from 1 species
GACGAACGCUGGCGGCGUGCCUAAUACAUGCAAGUAGAACGCACAGUUUAUACCGUAGCUUGCUACACCAUAGACUGUGAGUUGCGAACGGGUGAGUAACGCGUAGGUAACCUGCCUGGUAGCGGGGGAUAACUAUUGGAAACGAUAGCUAAUACCGCAUAAUAUUGAUUAUUGCAUGAUAAUUAAUUGAAAGGUGCAAUUGCACCACUACCAGAUGGACCUGCGUUGUAUUAGCUAGUAGGUGAGGUAACGGCUCACCUAGGCGACGAUACAUAGCCGACCUGAGAGGGUGAUCGGCCACACUGGGACUGAGACACGGCCCAGACUCCUACGGGAGGCAGCAGUAGGGAAUCUUCGGCAAUGGACGAAAGGCUGACCGAGCAACGCCGCGGGAGUGAAGAAGGGUGUCGGAUCGGAAAGCUCGGUUGUAAGAGAAGAACGGGUGUGAGAGUGGAAAGUUCACACUGUGACGGUAUCUGACCAGAAAGGGACGGCUAACUACGUG